GGCGACUUGGUCUAGUGGUAUGAUUCUCCCUUAGGGUGGGAGAGGUCGGGGGUUCAAUUCCCCCAGUCGCCC